GUUUAUGUCUGGUCAAACGGUGGCAGUUGCAAGAUGCGGCUUUUCUUUUUAUUUCAGUAUCUACUUUUUCUUUCCUGUUUUGUUUUCUUUACUAGGGAAGCGGCCGAUUAUUUGUGGUAAGUCAUACAGACUGCAUAUUUUUACAAAGCCUGGAUUUCUUUAUACAAUGCUGUCAUUAUUUUUUUUUAAUUAUUGCACAUUUAUCUUUUUUAAAAUUGAUUUAACUGUCUGUCUGUCUGUCUGUCUCUCUCUCUCUGUCUGUCUGUCUCUCUGUCUCUGUCUCUCUCUCUCUCUCUCUCUCUCUCUCCUUCUCUCUCUCUCUCUGUUUCUUAAAGUUAUAUAUUUAAGCGAUAAAGACUUGAAAAAAACCAAUAAAAGCAACAACAAAAAAACAUUUAGAAUAAACUGUUGGUUUAACCAUUGACUGCAUAAUCACAAAUCGCAAAAUAAUUGUUCUAUUUUUUAGUCAAUCUGCACUAGAGGAUGUGAGUUAUUUUACACUGUUACUGAGGAAGAUACUAACUUUAUUCAAUAGUUCAUACUACACAGUCCCGUAUCCGUGUUUACUACACGAAGCUCUAGAAGUAAGUUACAAAUAGAGAAGUUAUUAUUUCAUAAAGAUACAAAGAUGUCAAUGUUCAUGGUUUUUUUUUUGCAGUUUUAUUGAAUAUAAACUCAUCAAAUAUUAACUCAAAGUAUAUGAUCGUAUGAUGUUGUCUUUUCGUAAAUCGACAUAGACUUAAUUAACCUACUGUCAAUAAGUUGUACAAACUAAAAUUUAAAAUGGAAAUGGGGAAUAUGUCAAGUAGACAACAACUCGACUAAAGAGCAGACAACAGCCGAAGGCCAACAAUUGGUCUUCAUAGCAGCGAGAAAGUCCCGCACCCUGGAGGUAGUCCUCAGCUGGCCCCCAAAUAAAAUUGUGAACUUGUACAGUGAAAAAAUGUUGUAUACAAUGUUCUGAUCAGUAUAUUGCUUGAACUUUAGUGGACCAAACUAUUUUAUGACCUGGACAGACCGUCAAAAUUUUGAACUUCUUCUGGAUGUUAAAACAGAACAAUCUGGGAAAUUGAACGAACCUUGUAAAUAACUAUCUUAAAAGAUUUUUUUCAUUCAAACAGCUGUUCCAAAACAGUUAUACAAGUUGAUAACUUUUUUGUUCAUUUGACCUUCUUUCUGAAGAAACUUAAUUGUUAAGCACCCAGUCUUCUUGUCUUAAUCAUUUGUAAGGUUAUCUGGCAUCUUUACCGCAUGUUCGACUUCCUCUUGGUGUUUCACUUGAAGCCUUAUUGAAAUAUGAAUAGGUACAACUGUACUAACAUCUUAUGGUUUGUUCUUAUGUUUUUCUGUUACACCACUGUCCCCAGUUAGGAGGAGGGUUGGUUACCGCUAACAUGCUUAACGCCGCCACAUUCUGUAUGUGUGUGCCUGUCUCUAGUCAGGAGCCUGUAAUUCAUUGGUUGACGUUUUUUGCUUGAAUGCAUGUUUGUUUUUCGUUAAUUUUUUGUUCAUUAAUUCGGCCGUUAGUUUUCUAUUAUCAAUUGUUUUCUAUUUGUGAUUUCGGGGUCUUUUAUAGCGGACUAUAUGCGGUAUGGGCUUCGCUCAUUACGUACAGUGACCUAUAGUUGUUAAUUUCUGUGACAUUUGGUCGACUCUUGGUCUCUUGUUAAAAGUUGUCUCAUUGGCAAUCAUACCACAUCUUCUAUUUUCAUACAUACUCCAAGUUUUAUAGUUCAUCAUUCUUAUUUGUUAGAAGUUCAUCCAUAUUAUUGUUAUUGCAGUUCCCCUUGAUGAUAUUGAUCAGAAUAGUGUUUGCCUACACCUGUACCCUUGUGGUUACUCUGGGAGUUAUCUUUCUUGAGUAAGUAUUUACGCUUAAUACACAAUUCAAAUAAGCAACUCAUUAAACCUAAAUAGCCUUUUCUUUUGGUUUGGAGGUCAACGUUCAGACGUUGGUCUUUAAACUUUUUAUUAUUUUGAAUUUAAAAUGUAUAUUUAUAUCAUUACGUUUCUUUGUAUGCUGCAUGUAUUUUUAUAAUAAUUUCUCAGUUAAAAACAAAUGUUUUACACAAUUUUUUUUAUUAUACUAAGUAUAUACAUGUAAAAGUCUGUUGUAUUGUCCAGUAUUUGGUAGUCGUUUUUAUGUACUCGAAGGGUUGCACAUAUUUUUCUAGGUUAUUGUCCAGUAUUUUGGUAAUCGUUUUUAUGUACUAGAAGGGUUGCACAUAUUUUUCUUGGGUAUUGUCCAGUAUUUUGGUAAUCGGGUUUAUGUACUAAAGGGGUUGCACAUAUUUUUCUGGGUAUUGUCCAGUAUUUUGGUAGUCUUGCACAUAUUUUUCUGGGUACUGUCCAGGAUUUUAAUAGUCCGUGUUAUGUUCUAAAAGGGCUGUACAUAUUUUUCUGGGUAUUGUCCAGUAUUUUGGUAGUCCGUGUUAUGUACUAAAAGGGUUGAAAAUAUUUUUUCUGGGUAUUGUCCAGUAUUUUGGUAGUCCGUUUUAUGUACUAAAAGUUUUUUUUUACAUAUUUUAUCUUUUCAGAUGGAUUGUAGUCAGAGCCAGCCACGAAUGCACGUGCUUGCCGUGAACUUUGUAAUCGUGUACCAUGUCAGUGAAUGUAACUUUUGUUUUUAAUAAAAAUAAUUUAUCAUAACUUAAAA
rnacentral:lncRNA from 1 species